UACAAUUUGUUGAAAAAUAAACAAGCUCUC
rnacentral:piRNA from 1 species